AUGUGUCCUAGACAGACCCAUAUCUUCCGGGGCCCGAUCGUAUUCGCAACCUUGUAUCGCGUGCAGGAGGGUUUGACAGUCCGAUUCCACCAGUAUGUUGGAGAUCCCCCGUGCUGCGGCAGCCGACAGUGCGUGGAGGCAUGCCUCAGCUUCGGUCUGGAUAGCACUGAUUGCAUGUCGAAUCUUCCCACCACCCGCCCCAACUGCAUCUCCAGUAUUAUCACGAAUUACAAACCCCCAUCCUCCAGACCCUGCAGUACUAUGAAACGCCCCGUCCACAUUGAUUUUCAACUGAUCCCCGUCAGGCCUUGUCCGUCUGCCUGCCGGUCUCGGUCUGGCAGCCUGCACCGUCACUGA
rnacentral:rRNA from 1 species